rnacentral:rRNA from 1 species
AUUGAACGCUGGCGGCAGGCCUAACACAUGCAAGUCGAACGAUAACAGGAAGCACCUUGCUGCUUUGCUGACGAGUGGCGGGCGGGUGUGAAAUGUCUGGGAAACUGCCCUAUGGAGGGGGAUAACUACUGGAAACGGUACUUAAUACCGCAUAACGUCCCAACACCAAAGUUGGGGACCUUAGGGCGUCUUUCCAUUGGAUUUGCGCGGAUGGGAUUAGCUAGUAGGUGGGGUAACGGCUAACCUAGGCGACGAUCCCUAGCUGGUCUGAGAGGUUGACCGGCCACACUGGAACUGAGACACGGUCCAGACUCCUACGGGAGGCAGCAGUGGGGAAUAUUCCACAAUGGGCGCAAGCCUGACGCAGCAACGCCGCGUGUGUGAAGAAGGUCUUCGGAUUGUAAAGUACUUUUAGCGGGGAGGAAGGGAGUAGAGUUUAUACCUUCGCUCCUUGACGUUACCCGCAGAGAAAGCCCCGGCUAACUACGUG